rnacentral:lncRNA from 1 species
GAGUUAAGGUGGUGACAGUGCAAAUGAAGAAGUAAAUGUGUAUGCAACAUGUUUUUGGAGAAGAAAGCCAAGAAGGAGUAGCAAUGGCCAUGGAAAUGCUGAUCAAGGAGGUAAAGUCUUCAGUGACCGAAUGAUCAAGUCAGGAAAAAACCACUUCGGAAAGGUUUAGUGGGUGGUGUAGCUGAACGUAAAAAGAGCUUAGGGUUUUGAGUGAGAAGGAAAAGAAAUCCUUUUAAUGUGACCAUGAGAAGCAAGGCAGAUGCUUGCUAGCUCUCAUGGAGUUAGAGGGGGGAAAAAAAAAGAAAAAAGCCUCCCCCGGAGAGGGUUCCAGGAGAAGUUGUGUUAGAAGGGGACAGACCAGCUUUCAGUUAAGGCGUGGAAAUGAGAGGGUUGCUCCUGUACAAACAGAGUCUGCUGAUCAGAGAUCGGGAGUCCCAGAGGACAGGGUGAGAGCAUUUAGAGGAAGAGGAGAGGAGGCGAGGGGUUUGAAAUCCACAGCGUGACAUGAGAGUGAGUGGCCUCAGAAUAAUAAUGGUUACCGCUAAAGCCUGGGACUUCUGCAGGGAGUGCAAAUAACCUGGAACCCGAGGCACGACAAGAUAAAUCUUGAGAGGCUCAUGAGAAGGAGGACAAUAGAUACAAGCUAUGACCCUGAACAAGCGGCUUGAUGGCAUGAAGGUCUCUAGGUGACUUUUCCCUCCUGCAACGCAUGCAAUGGUUGGUCUGGGUGAUGGGGUCACUGGGUGCCACCCCUCCAUCCUACAAGGACAAUGACUCAUGUGGCUAGGGUCCAGAGGAAUACUCUCUCAGAGAGCUGGACAUAGAGUUUCUGUAGCUGCCAUGUUCGUAUUAGAUCCCAUGUCUCUAGACAUAAUUCAUUGGAACACGGAUGGGCACCUGCCCCAACCUGGACCAGUUAGAGUCUUUUCCUAGAAUCUUCUGCUUAGGACAGGGAGCCCUUCACUGGGGAUGGAAGUCAUUAGAUAUAAAACAUGGUCUCUGCAGACAGCUAGUUUUCCAGUCAUGCAGACAGAGCCAGUCUAAACAAGAAUAAUCAACUGUUUCUUGAAUGUCAUGGGCCAAUUAAUUUUACCUUUUGGUCUAAGAUAAAGUCAGGUUUCUGUGCCUCAAAACCCAGAAUACUAACUUGAAACCAAAGACUAAUAGCUAUGCACAAAUUCUGUCACCACCUUCUAUUGACCAUAGCAAGACGUAGUGUAACAGCUCCUUAAAAUUAGCUAUACAGACAACAGUGUGGUUCCACUCCAGUGCCCUGCAGCCUAGGCACCCAGGAAGAGUUAGUGUUUCAUUAUGAAUGCAAAGGCAGGGAAAAACUGAUGACUCCACUCAAAGACCAUCAGGCAAAAGGAAUUCACUCUUAUUCAGCCCAUGUGUUCUACUCAGGCCUUCAACUGAUUGGACGAGGCCCAUCCAUGUUAGGGAGAGGCAUCUGCUUUCUCUACCAAUUCAAAUGUUAAUCUCUGGAGACAUCUUCACAGACACGCCCAAAAUAACAUCCAGCCAAAUAACUGCUCACCCCACGGCCCAGUCCAGUUGACAUACAACAUGAGCUAUCCCACUACACAAUCUUUCACAGCUGCCUUCCAAUGUAUGUCUGCCUUUCAUUGUAUUGAGGGCUGCAGGAUGUAUUACUACUGUUAUUGAGUAGGUCCAGAUGCCAGGAUUGUGUGCUUGUGAUGGUGACUUGGACUAGCUCUUGGGUUAGGUGAAGUCCUGAUGAAGGAACAGCAGAGGUAGGGAAAUCAUGCAAAGGACAAGAAAGGAAACCCCUGAGCUGACUUUCCUCCCUUCGCUGAGUGAGCAGACUAUUUUAAGCAAGAGGAGUUGACAACAUCUGGAAAACUCUAUAAAGUAGUUUGUGAAAGUCCAUAAAGCAGAAUGAGCUUUAGGAAGGUUAACUGAAAGAGACUGUCCUCCAGGAAAGCCAAGUUGGUGGGGUGAAAGUUUCAUAAUCUGGGCAGAAUACAAAAACAUCACCAGUGUGACGCUUGCAACGGUAUCAAGGAGAGCAGGAAUCUGAUUCCAAGGCAAAAAUCAGAGCUUAGAAAGAAAUCCCUCAGUUUACUCAUCUGAAGAAUGGACAUAAAAAUACUGUGUUGUGCAGGGGAUUUGCUAGUUUAUUCUCUGGGGGCUGUCACACUAUGUCAUGCUAGGGUCAAUGGAGGAAGACUGCAGAAUUUGGGUACUUGCUAUGAUUCUUGCAAGGAACCAUUAGAAACCACCUGCCACAUUGUAAGGGUUCCUUACCUUCUACUGCCUGCUGCCCUUGCACCCAGGGGCUGGGGCAACACAGAAGACGUGAAGGGCAAGAGCUAUGAGAUCAAAGACCGGGGCGGAAGCCUCAGGGGCCAAGCCUUUAAGGGAGACUUUUCUGAAAUGGCUGGCAUAGUAGCAGCUGUGAGAUUCCCCAGCACAGGCAUGUCUUUGCAUAUUGGGCUUAGGGGGCUUCCUUGGGCCCAAUGUGUUACUAUCUUUCUUCUAACGCUCAUCAUUCUUUCACAGCAAUGGUCUCUUCUGUUCGUGGAGCAUCUCUGGGCAGAUGACAGAGGGGGAACCCUGGUUUUCAUGGUCCUGAGUAUUCGAGAAGUUCAAGGACUCCUUUGCCUCAGAUAAAUCACCGAAGGCCAAGUCAAGGCUCAAGCCCGGAUCUCAGCCCUCACAUGCCAUGCUACACUGUCUCCAUGAAGUCGCAGCACACUGCUUUGCCCUGACUGGGCUUUUUGGACACAGUAAAUAUGAAAUAAAGUUGCAGCGCCUCAAUUGGCUCAUGCGUUUUUGAGCACUUACUAGAAACAGGGAUGCAAAUGAAGGGCUGAUGCACCAACUCUCACUCCAAAACGGCCCUUGAAUUCGUCCUCCUCUGCAGCCUCUGCCCCUGCCUCUACUCAGCCUCCACUUUUCAUGUGGCCAAAGCCACCUGUUCUCCCUGUCUGCAGCUGCUCCAUCCUUCCUACUGUUACCAUCAUUUGUGCCUCUGUCUUCAGUGAAAACCCCAAUGGCACCCAAAUCAUGUUGGCAGAGUUCUUCCAUCGCGGUUACACAGUAGAAUUCCCAGGGCAUUAAAUGUCAGGCCCUGUCCCAGAUAUUCUGACCUUAACUGGCCUGGGGUGGGACCAUUGUUCUAUUUGUUUUAAUCUCCAGGCUACAGUCAAGGGCUGCCAAGGCUGAAAAUCUUUUGGAUUACCAAGUAAAGCCAGAUCUCCUGAGCAUGAUAUCCGAAGCCCUUCACACUGAGCAGUAAUCAAUAUUUCUUGCCUCUCCCCGUGUACAUUUGUUAUUACAAUGUUAUGAAAAUGUCUGUCAUCUCUGUUCAACUGUGAGUUUCUCAAGGACAAAACCCCUGUCAUUCAUCUCUGUGUCCCUCAUAGUCAUCAUAACACCUACAAACAGUAAGUGCUUAAUAAAUGUUGGUUGGGUGGGUGGAUGGUAAGUGGUUGGCGGGAGUGGGGACCAGUGACUAGUAGUAAAAUUCUGAACUAACCUGCUCAGGGACCUGCACUCCCAGAGCUGAAUGACCAGGACAAAGAAGGAAGUCUCUUACAUCAAUGUGUCUCUAUUUGCUCCAGAAAAUUCUUGCCAAGGAAGAUAAAGGCGUAAAGGGUAUAAACCCUUGGUCCACUAAUCCCAAAUAUUGAACUUGAACUUUGCCUGAUCCCAAUCAGAUCCCCGUGUUGAAAUUCCAUCUACCUUCAGCCAGAUUUUCAAAUCCUAACCUCUCUCCUCUUAGACCCUAGACAUUAUCAAUUGGGUAUUCUUCCUAUUUUAGUUAAGCAAUACACUCAACUUUGUUUGAUCAAUAGGUUAUUUUAGUGGCCUUUUAGGGCAUCAAAAAUCAACACCUCCAUUCUUUUCUUAUCUCACAGUGUGGUUUUGGGUAAGUCAGAUAUGUUGUCAAAUAUCUCUGGAUAUAAAAUGAAUCCGAGAAUUCUUAUCACUUGCCUUCCUUGCAAAGUCAUUAGAGAAUGAAAUAUGCUACAAUUUUCUGCAACGCUUUCCAUCCAAGGAUCUCAAAGCACUUUAUUUCUGCCAGAUGCAAAUACAUUACAUGAUUAAUAGUCUGCUUCUGAAAGUCACAGGGAAAAGGAUUUCAUGGCUCCAAG